rnacentral:miRNA from 3 species
UGAGAAGUAAGACUACCAUCCCG